GAUUUAAAUAAGUCGAUAAAUCCCGUCUCUCCACUCUAUACAACAGUAUACCUCAAGAAAAGUUGCGAUAACUAGCUUGUGAGAUCAGAACACAGCUCUGCACAGCUCUGUAGCUCUAAGCAAAAUCACUCAGUGUGGAGCAUGAAGAGAAAUGGAUUUGCUGCGUAAGCAGUAGCUUCAACAAUUUCUUUGCGGAGCAGCGUGCUCAAAUGGUCGUACAUUUGACAGGUCAGUGUCUGAAGCAUCCUAGCGACUGUGGUAAGCACCAGCAGGUGGAAAUCAUGAACCAGUGGAACUGAAAAUCAAGUGAAGGGAGAGCAGGAGCUACUACAUCAGAUAAGAGCUGGAGAAAGAUGACGUGCCGGAUGUCAGGAACACAGAUGGCCAGAACAGCCAGAAGAUACAAAAUAUGCCAAGUAUGCCAGCAGUACCAUCCCUGACCUCAAGAAACGUGAUUGAAAAAAUCCAGUUGGGAUCAUGCAUCAACCAAAUGAAGAUGUAUUGAAUCUGGUU